UACGUAGGGGGCAAGCGUUGUCCGGAUUUAUUGGGCGUAAAGAGCUCGUAGGCGGUUCCGUAAGUCGUGAAGUCAAAUCUCUGGGCUCAACCCAGAAUCGCUUCCGAUACUGCGGUGACUGGAGUCCGAUAGGGGAGUGUGGAAUUCCUGGUGUAGCGGUGAAAUGCGCAGAUAUCAGGAGGAACACCAACAGCGAAGGCAGCACUCUGGGCCGGUACUGACGCUGAGGAGCGAAAGCAUGGGGAGCGAACAGG
rnacentral:rRNA from 1 species